rnacentral:lncRNA from 1 species
AUAGUGUUUGUUACCUCCUUCCCUCAUAUGGUGAAACUAUCUGGAGUUGAGGCCUGAGUGAAGGGAUUAGGUCCUGAGGAUGGAGCCCUUAGGAAUGGGAUGUGUGCCCUUAUAGGAAGAGGGCAGACAGCUGUACUCUGCAACCUAGAAGAGGGUCUGGCAGAACUCAUUUAAGACUCCGGGGAGCCUUAGCUUACGGGGACCCCCUGAGUGAACCACGUGGAGCCAUGUGAUGCAAAAAGCAAGAGGGAUUUAUUGUUCCAGUGCACUGGGGUCAUCCCAGACCAGAAGGAGAGGCGGGGACCCCCAGCACCCAUUUGGAGGUAGCUUUGCAUCAGAGAAUGAAAGCAAUACAAAGGAAGACAGAGCUGAACUUUGAGAACAAGAAUGCAUGGAUGGCACAAUUUUAGGUCUAGAAAGAAUGACAAGUGACAACAUCAGAGGCCUGAAUUUCCCAUUCAGACAAACCAGUAUGUUCCCUUCGUUCUUCAGCUACUUGAAAGUAGAUAUAUUUCAUUUGCAAUUGGGUCCUAAAUAAUGAUAAUUUUAUCUUAUAGGAGUA